rnacentral:lncRNA from 1 species
AAAAAAAAAAAAGGUGUGGAGAGGCAAGCGAAGAAGACAAGAACGAAGAAUCACUCGGGCUAGUGCUGGUCAGUGCAAACCUAGCAAAAUGUUUGUGAAGACAAAACCUACAUCUAGGGGUACAACCGUAACAAGAAGCCCAAUCCAUGCACGCAUGAACCAAACAUGGACCAGCCUGCGUAAUUUGAGUGCAAAUUGUUUGCCCAG